UCCAGCGGCCCCGGCCCGGUCCGGGCUGGAGCGCAGCGCGGCGCAGCGCAGCGCCGCCCCCCGCGGCCGCGCGAGCAGAGCCGAAAGGGAGCUCCCUGCUGGCGGCUCCCGGGAUAAACGCCCGGCCUUCCUGGCAGCGCCUGGGCGCGCCUCCAGAACGGGCCAUGCGGGCACGGGGCGCUGCUCUGGGAGCCUUCUGCCCGCGUCCGAGAGGCCUGGAGCUCCCGUCUGCGCUGGGCGCCGGAGGCCGCUGGGCAUGCCCAGGGCAGGCACCGUGCCCGCAUGUAUAGAACAGGUUCCUUCCAAGGCCUGCACUGGACUCCGCGCGCUGGCUGUGUCCGAGAGGGUGCUGCCCAGGGCAGUGCUGUGCGGAGGACGCAUUCGAGUCUUGCUGGUCACAUCUUCCCAGGGUGGCUCUGCAGGGGCAGACAUAGGGCGCUGCUCGAUGGUGCCAGAUGGCUUAGGCCGGAGCAGACACUGCCCGCAUGUCCAGGGUGGCACUCGCAGAAUGUACUCCGCAGGGUGGUAGCUUGGUCUGAGAGAGCCCUGCCUCAAGUGCAGCUGCCUGAGGGGUGUACCGGGGCCCAGGAGACGCAGCCCUCAGCGGUGAUCACUCAGUCCCCAAAGGAGUCCAACGAUGCUAAUAAGAUUAACACCUUUCAGAGGCUUCUUGGUUUACAGGUCCCGUCAUGUGCUCAUCCAGUGAGAUGUUUACCCAGGAAAGGAUUAGAGGUGUCCUGGGAGAGGCCAGAGGUGUUUAGAGACCAGUCUUCCAAGGAAACACAUCUAGAAAAGAUGUUGCUACAACCAGUGUCAUGGUGAUGAUUGCUUACAUACAACAUCAAAGGCAUGAUUCAUGAAA